UUUUUUAAUUGAAAACUUGUAUGAAUGGUUGAAUGAAAUAUUAACUGUUUCAUAAAAAUUUUUAUAGAAUUUUAUUUUUUAGUAAAAAAGCUAAAAUGUAAUUAAAGGACGAGAAGACCCUAUAAAGUUUAAUAUUUUAAUAUUAUAUAGUUUAUUUAGAAUUAUUUAAAUUUUAUAGUUUAAAUUAUUUUAUUGGGGUGAUAAUAAAAUUUAAAAAACUUUUAUUAUUUUUUAACAUUGAUUUUUGAUUUUAUGAUCCAAUUUUAUUGAUUAAAAAUUUAAAUUACUUUAGGGAUAACAGCGUAAUUUUUUUUAAAAGUUCAUAUUUAUAAAAAAGAUUGC
rnacentral:rRNA from 1 species